rnacentral:rRNA from 1 species
UACAGAGGUCUCAAGCGUUGUUCGGAUUCAUUGGGCGUAAAAGGUGCGUAGGCGGCGCGGUAAGUCGGGUGUGAAAUCUCGGAGCUUAACUCCGAAACUGCAUUCGAUACUGCCGUGCUUGAGGACUGGAGAGGAGACUGGAAUUUACGGUGUAGCGGUGAAAUGCGUAGAUAUCGUAAGGAAGACCAGUGGCGAAGGCGGGUCUCUGGACAGUUCCUGACGCUGAGGCACGAAGGUCAGGGGGAGCAAAACGGG